CCUACGGGAGGCAGCAGUAGGGAAUAUUGCUCAAUGGGGGAAACCCUGAAGCAGCAACGCCGCGUGGAGGAUGACGGUUUUCGGAUUGUUAACUCCUUUUGUUAGAGAAGAUAAUGACGGUAUCUAACGAAUAAGCACCGGCUAACUCCGUGCCAGCAGCCGCGGUAAUACGGAGGGUGCAAGCGUUACUCGGAAUCACUGGGCGUAAAGAGCGCGUAGGCGGGAUAGCAAGUCAGAUGUGAAAUCCUAUGGCUUAACCAUAGAACUGCAUUUGAAACUGUUAUUCUAGAGUAUGGGAGAGGUAGGUGGAAUUCUUGGUGUAGGGGUAAAAUCCGUAGAGAUCAAGAGGAAUACUCAUUGCGAAGGCGACCUGCUAGAACAUAACUGACGCUGAUGCGCGAAAGCGUGGGGAGCAAACAGGAUUAGAUACCCGAGUAGUC
rnacentral:rRNA from 1 species